UACGUAGGGAGCAAGCGUUGUCCGGAAUCAUUGGGCGUAAAGCGCGCGUAGGCGGCCCUGUAAGUCCGUUGUGAAAGUCAAAGGCUCAACCUUUGAAAGCCGAUGGAUACUGCAGGGCUAGAGUCCGGAAGAGGCGAGUGGAAUUCCUGGUGUAGCGGUGGAAUGCGCAGAUAUCAGGAGGAACACCGGUGGCGAAGGCGGGUCUCUGGGCCGAAAUUGACGCUGAGGAGCGAAAGCGUGGGGAGCAAACAGG
rnacentral:rRNA from 1 species